rnacentral:rRNA from 1 species
UACGAAGGGGGCUAGCGUUGUUCGGAAUUACUGGGCGUGAAGCGUGCGCAGGCGGUUCGUUGUGUCUGAUGUGAAAGCCCCGGGCUCAACCUGGGAAUGGCAUUGGAAACUGGCGAGCUAGAGUGUGGCAGAGGGGGGUGGAAUUCCGCGUGUAGCAGUGAAAUGCGUAGAGAUGCGGAGGAAUACCGAUGGCGAAGGCAGCCCCCUGGGAUAACACUGACGCUCAUGCACGAAAGCGUGGGGAGCAAACAGG